rnacentral:lncRNA from 1 species
GCGGCUCGAGAUCAAUGGGGAUAUUCGCAGAGCACCCAUAGAGCUAUAAUCCAUGUCUGACUCGUUAUAUAAAGAAUCAUGACGGAGGUCCAUUUCCUGUCAUAUAGAUCGAUCUUUUAAAUUCACGGGGUCAUCUUGCUUGAGGAGAUAUAAAGGAGAGAGAAGCCCAAAAUCAAGAAUAAACGACUAUUCCGUGAAACGGCUAGGACUUAGGAAUCAUUUUAAUGCCUCAUCGAACAUAUGUUUGUAAUAUUCAUCAUGCAAAUUCUUAUCAGUAUAGACCUCGGUCUUGAACCUUGAUUGAGUUCCAUCCGGAUUGCAAAACAAAAAAUACAGUGUUAUGAUUUUUUUUCUUAAAACUACGAAGUUCAAAC